rnacentral:rRNA from 1 species
GACGAACGCUGGCGGCGUGCCUAAUACAUGCAAGUUGAGCGCUGAAGGUUGGUACUUGUACCGACUGGAUGAGCAGCGAACGGGUGAGUAACGCGUGGGGAAUCUGCCUUUGAGCGGGGGACAACAUUUGGAAACGAAUGCUAAUACCGCAUAAAAACUUUAAACACAAGUUUUAAGUUUGAAAGAUGCAAUUGCAUCACUCAAAGAUGAUCCCGCGUUGUAUUAGCUAGUUGGUGAGGUAAAGGCUCACCAAGGCGAUGAUACAUAGCCGACCUGAGAGGGUGAUCGGCCACAUUGGGACUGAGACACGGCCCAAACUCCUACGGGAGGCAGCAGUAGGGAAUCUUCGGCAAUGGACGAAAGUCUGACCGAGCAACGCCGCGUGAGUGAAGAAGGUUUUCGGAUCGUAAAACUCUGUUGGUAGAGAGGAACGUUGGUGAGAGUGGAAAGCUCAUCAAGUGACGGUAACUACCCAGAAAGGGACGGCUAACUACGUG